rnacentral:rRNA from 1 species
GAGUACGAUUAUACUAGCACUAAAGCAUCAGAUCCCAUUAGAACUCCAUAACUAAGUGUUGUAGGGCAAGAGUGCUACUAGGAUGGUUGAUCUCUUGGGAACUCCUCAUGUUAUACUCC